rnacentral:rRNA from 1 species
UACAGAGGGUGCAAGCGUUAAUCGGAAUGACUGGGCGUAAAGGGCACGUAGGCGGUAAGAUAAGUAGGUUGUGAAAUACAUGGGCUUAACCUGUGGAGGUCAACCUAGACUAUUUUGCUAGAGACCAAGAGAGGGAGGAGGAAUUUCCGGUGUAGCGGUGAAAUGCGUAGAGAUCCGGAAGAACACCGGUGGCGAAGGCGGCCUGCUGGGACAGUGCUGACGCUGAGGCGCGACAGCGUGGGGAGCAAACAGG